GCCCGAGUGGUGAAAUUGGUAUACACGCACGACUCAAAAUCGUGUGCCGAAAGGCAUGAGAGUUCGAGUCUCUCCUCGGGCACCA
rnacentral:tRNA from 1 species